GGCGCUGUCAGACCGCCAUUUUUGACUGUAUUUCAAUAUAAUAAAAAGUACUAAUUAGCUCGAGAUCAUAUGAACUGUCUGCAUUUCCCUGUAACUAGUGACGUUUUAUGCAACUCCAACUAACCACAUGUGGCUAAGGUGACAUGCUACCAUGCAAGUUAGCUGGUCGGGAAGAUGGCGUCGUGACGCAGAGUUCGAAAUGAACCAAGACUGAAACGAUGGUGGAGGGAACCAGAGCUGCUCAGCCCACUCCUCUAAAGUCCAUCUUGCAGCUGUGCUUGGGCCUCCGGAGGUAAACAUUUGAACUCCAGUGUGAAGUAUAAACUUUCUUCGCCUGUGUAUGAAUAUAUCCCAGUCAGCAUCCCUGCAUUAGAUGAUUGUGUAACAACUACUGUACAAUUUCUUAUUUUCAAUUGUAUACAUCCAUUUUAAGUUUAGAAUUCCAGAAACAGCCCUUAACCUAAUCUAAAUAAUAUAAGGGGGGGGGGGGGGGGUCUCCUGUGGUGUUGUGUGAUAGUAGAAGCCAGAAUCAAAAUGUUUCUCAUUUUGACAAGUUUACAAAUUGCAUCAGAGAACGUAAACUCUCAAUUGUAUAAAUACAGUAAACAUUCAAUGAA